rnacentral:rRNA from 1 species
UACGGAGGGGGCUAGCGUUGUUCGGAAUUACUGGGCGUAAAGCGCACGUAGGCGGCUUGGUAAGUUAGAGGUGAAAGCCUGGAGCUCAACUCCAGAAUUGCCUUUAAGACUGCCGAGCUAGCAGGUGAGAGAGGUGAGUGGAAUUCCGAGUGUAGAGGUGAAAUUCGUAGAUAUUCGGAAGAACACCAGUGGCGAAGGCGGCUCACUGGCUCAUACUGGACGCUGAGGUGCGAAAGCGUGGGGAGCAAACAGG